rnacentral:ncRNA from 2 species
AACUUAUCAAGAGAAGUGGAGGGACUGGCCCUACGAAUCUUCGGCAACAUGACUCAUGUGCCAAUUCCAGUAACCGAAAAGGUUUGAAGAUAAGCA